GGCCUAUCAGCUUGUUGGUGAGGUAAUGGCUCACCAAGGCGACGACGGGUAGCCGGCCUGAGAGGGCGACCGGCCACACUGGGACUGAGACACGGCCCAGACUCCUACGGGAGGCAGCAGUGGGGAAUAUUGCACAAUGGGCGAAAGCCUGAUGCAGCGACGCCGCGUGAGGGAUGACGGCCUUCGGGUUGUAAACCUCUUUCAGCAGGGAAGAAGCGAAAGUGACGGUACCUGCAGAAGAAGCGCCGGCUAACUACGUGCCAGCAGCCGCGGUAAUACGUAGGGCGCAAGCGUUGUCCGGAAUUAUUGGGCGUAAAGAGCUCGUAGGCGGCUUGUCACGUCGGUUGUGAAAGCCCGGGGCUUAACCCCGGGUCUGCAGUCGAUACGGGCAGGCUAGAGUGUGGUAGGGGAGAUCGGUAUUCCUGGUGUAGCGGUGAUGCCAAUAUCGAGACACCGGUGGCGAAGGCGGAUCUCUGGGCCAUUACUGACGCUGAGGAGCGAAAGCGUGGGGAGCGAACAGGAUUAGAUACCCUGGUAGUCCACGCCGUAAACGGUGGGAACUAGGUGUUGGCGACAUUCCACGUCGUCGGUGCCGCAGCUAACGCAUUAAGUUCCCCGCCUGGGGAGUACGG
rnacentral:rRNA from 1 species